GACGAACGCUGGCGGCGUGCUUAACACAUGCAAGUCGAGCGGUAAGGCCCUUUGGGGUACACGAGCGGCGAACGGGUGAGUAACACGUGAGUAAUCUGCCUUUGGCUUGGGAAUAACUUCGGGAAAUCGGGGCUAAUGCCUGAUGUUUACUGUCUGCUGCAUGGUGGGUGGUGGAAAGAUUUUUUGGCCAGGGAUGAGCUCGCGGUCUAUCAGCUUGUUGGUGGGGUAAUGGCUUACCAAGGCUUUGACGGGUAGCCGGCCUGAGAGGGUGUUCGGCCACACUGGGGACUGAGACACGGCCCAGACUCCUACGGGAGGCAGCAGGUGGGGAAUAUUGCGCAGUGGGCGUAAGCCUGACGCAGCGACGCCGCGUGGGGA
rnacentral:rRNA from 1 species